GCAAAUGGGAGUGUGGAUACUUCACAGAGAUCUUGACCUCAGAACUGCUGCAGAAAGGAAUGGCACAGUAAUGAGCCUGAAGGUGGAAUUCAAAUGGCCUCAGUUUUGAGAAGAGAAGGAAUGUUGGGGUAGGAGCCAGGUGACACAAGGAGUCUCAAACACAGAUCUCCAGAGGACCCCUGAACAUAAAAUUGUGCUGACCACCUAGAAGCAUGAGAUGGUCCAGACCUGAGUGGAAAUUAACUCAACAUCAAAAUUGUGAAAUCAGCUACUUGCUUUGAAGGAUUGAAAUUCAGAAUCUACAUAACCAUAUAAUAGGAUUAUAAUAUGAAUAAUGGUAUUUACUUGUGUUUACGGAAAAAAAAAUUUUUGUUUUGUUUUGUGGUAGUAGGCAUGGCAAUACUGGGGCACACUGCCACUGAACACUACCCUCAGAGCUUUGUUAUUUUUUAUUUUGAUAUGGGAUCUCGCUAAAUUGUCCAGACUGGCCUGAAACUGGUGAUCUCCUGCCUCAGUCUCCUGAGUCAUUGGGAUUGUGGUGUUGUUUGGAAUUACAAAGUGGUUUUUUUAAAAUCCAUAAUCAUGACAGUUUUUUCUAUAUGAUUCCGUUUAUAUGAGAUUCAAACAUAAAUACAAGUAAGCUGUAUUGUUCAGAAAUGCAUAUUUGGGUGGUAGACUAUAAAACAAGUCAAGGAAAUAAUCACAAUAGUGUCAAGAGAAUGGUGAUGCCUAGAGGAAAAGAACCAGUGGGCGAGAGGAGAGGAGACUGGGGUGGGGGAGUGAUCCUGGCCAAAUUCUAUUGUUAUAUUAUGUGCAUGCAUAAAUAUGUAACAACAAAUUCCACUGUUUAUGUACAACUAUAAUUCACCAAUAAAAAAACUUGGAAAAAAAGAAAGAUGGUAAGAGAGAAAGGAGGUCUCAUUGGGAAAGGGCACAUGCAGGCCUUCUGGGGUCUGGCUGUUUUCCAUUUCUUAGUGUCAGUGGGGCUUACAUGGGUUUCAUUUGCAAUAAGCUGUACAUUUAUGAUAAUUUUGUACAUGAGUACAUGUUUUUUUUUUCACACACACAACAAAGAGCCAAGAAAAGAAAAGGAAUUAAGUUACUUUAUGUUAUUACAACCAGUAUUGGUUAUUAGUUAUUACAAUUCUAGGGUAGAGAUGACUCAGAGCUAUGCAAUAUAUAAUGUGUGACUUCCUUGAUGGUAUUUUAGGUAAUUAUGCAUUGAUUUUCAUAUCAUUUAUGUUUAAAGAGAUCUAUGUACCUAUACAA